rnacentral:rRNA from 1 species
GAUGAACGCUGGCGGCGUGCCUAAUACAUGCAAGUCGAGCGAACGGACGAGAAGCUUGCUUCUCUGAUGUUAGCGGCGGACGUGUGAGUAACACGUGGAUCACCUACCUAUCAGACUGGGAUAACUUCGGGAAACCGGAGCUAAUACCGGAUAAUCUUUUGAACCGCAUGGUUCAAAAGUGAAAGACGGUCUUGCUGUCACUUAUAGAUGGAUCCGCGCUGCAUUAGCUAGUUGUUAAGGUAACGGCUUACCAAGGCAACGAUGCAUAGCCGACCUGAGAGGGUGAUCGGCCACACUGGAACUGAGACACGGUCCAGACUCCUACGGGAGGCAGCAGUAGGGAAUCUUCCGCAAUGGGCGAAAGCCUGACGGAGCAACGCCGCGUGAGUGAUGAAGGUCUUCGGAUCGUAAAACUCUGUUAUUAGGGAAGAACAUAUGUGUAAGUAACUGUGCACAUCUUGACGGUACCUAAUCAGAAAGCCACGGCUAACUACGUG